rnacentral:rRNA from 1 species
AUUGAACGCUGGCGGCAUGCUUUACACGUGCAAGUCGAACGGCAGCGCGGGCUUCGGCCUGGCGGCGAGUGGCGAACGGGUGAGUAAUACAUCGGAACGUGCCCAGUAGUGGGGGAUAGCUCGGCGAAAGCUGGAUUAAUACCGCAUACGACCUGAGGGUGAAAGCGGGGGAUCUUCGGACCUCGCGCUAUUGGAGCGGCCGAUGGCAGAUUAGCUAGUUGGUGGGGUAAAGGCCUACCAAGGCGACGAUCUGUAGCUGGUCUGAGAGGACGACCAGCCACACUGGGACUGAGACACGGCCCAGACUCCUACGGGAGGCAGCAGUGGGGAAUUUUGGACAAAGGGCGAAAGCCUGAUCCAGCAAUGCCGCGUGUGUGAUGAAGGCCUUCGGGUUGUAAAGCACUUUUGGCGGGAACGAAAAGGACUGUGCCAAUACCACGGUUCGAUGACGGUACCCGCAGAAUAAGCACCGGCUAACUACGUG